UACUGCCGAUCAUUGCGGUUUGAAGACAAACCAGACUAUUCAUAUUUGAAGAGGCUAUUUCGAGAGUUAUUUAUUCGAGAAGGUUAUCAGUUUGACUAUGUUUUUGACUGGACGGUUUUGAAAUACCCUCAGAUUAGUUCCAGCUCUAGAGGACGGCAUUCCAGUGGGAAACCAGGUCAUGCAGGACCAUCUGCAGAAAGACCCACAGAAAAGGUCUCAGUUGGGAAAGAGAUUCGGGAUAGAUUGUCAGGUGCUGUUGAAGCAUUUUCCACAAGGAAGUUCUCAGGCUCUAGUCCACAUGACAAUUCCAGAAACAGAUCUUCAGAGAAUCAACUGGAGCCAGAGAAAGGGCGUAGUUCUUCUCGUUAUGGCAGCAACACAAGAAAAGCUGUCGUCUCAAAUAGUCGGCCGAGUUCAUCUGGCGAACCUAGUGAAGGUCGUUCUAGCAGGUUACUCUCAAGCAGUGGCCGUCUGACUUCUUCACAAAGAAUCCAACCUGGGUAUGACCCAAAAUCAUCUACUCGUGCCGUGGCUUCUUCUAAAGGCACUCGUGACGACGCAUUUAGGAGCUUUGAGCUCCUCUCAAUCAG
rnacentral:misc_RNA from 1 species